rnacentral:rRNA from 1 species
CUCGUAGGCGGUUCGUCGCGUCCGGUGUGAAAAUCCAUCGCUUAAACGGUGGAUCCGCGCCGGGUACGGGCGGGCUUGAGUGCGGUAGGGGAGACUGGAAUUCCCGGUGUAACGGUGGAAUGUGUAGAUAUCGGGAAGAACACCAAUGGCGAAGGCAGGUCUCUGGGCCGUCACUGACGCUGAGGAGCGAAAGCGUGGGGAGCGAACA